rnacentral:rRNA from 1 species
UACGGAGGGGGCGAGCGUUGUUCGGAAUCACUGGGUGUAAAGGGUGCGUAGGCGGCGUGGUAAGUCGGGUGUGAAAUCUCGGAGCUUAACUCCGAAACUGCAUUCGAUACUGCGGUGCUUGAGGACUGGAGAGGAGACUGGAAUUCAUGGUGUAGCAGUGAAAUGCGUAGAGAUCAUGAGGAAGACCAGUGGCGAAGGCGGGUCUCUGGACAGUUCCUGACACUGAGGCACGAAGGCCAGGGGAGCAAACGGG